rnacentral:rRNA from 1 species
AUACGGAGGGUGCAAGCGUUACUCGGAAUCACUGGGCGUAAAGCGCGCGCAGGCGGUCUUUUAAGUUGGAUGUGAAAGCCUACGGCUCAACCGUAGAACUGCAUCCAAAACUAUUAGACUAGAGUGUGGGAGAGGAAGAUGGAAUUAGUUGUGUAGGGGUAAAAUCCGUAGAGAUAACUAGGAAUACCAAAAGCGAGGGCAAUCUUCUGGAACACUACUGACGCUGAGGCGCGAAAGCGUGGGGAGCAAACAGGAUUAGAAACCCUAGUAGUCC